UCAAGCCAUGUAUCUUACAAGAUCAAUGCAAAGUAUGUUUGUCAGUAUAUGGAGCUUAAUGAUUAUUUCAGUGAAGUAUAGUUGUUUCUUGCUUGAAAUAUUGUUAAGCACCUUGAGCAAAUGAAGAUUUGUGUAAAUGAAUAGCAAGCAUAGCAAAGGAGAAAAGCUAGCUAGGGAGCAAUUGUAACUACCUGUAGCUCAAUAGGUAGCUGCAGGUUAUGGAUGAAUUUUUUUGAAAGUGUGCUCCUUUCAAUUUCAGAAAGAGAGUGACUGAUGAUGAGAACCAUGUUCCAUCUCUUCAAAGCUGCUCUUUUGCAGAAAGAAGCUCCAACAGUCCCACACAUGUUCUUUUUGGACCCACUUGCUCUCCAGCCACUAAGUUUAACAGGGAAGAGCGGUAAAUUAAUGUAUUUUUACAGCAAAAGAGAGUUGAGAUAGGAAUAUGGAGAUGAUUGGAGUCAUUAAGAUAUUCUUAUUUCUAUAUUUGCUUGCACAACAACUGCAGCCUGUUUAUGUUGGUCCUAGUACUAGAUUAAAUUGGCCAGGUGAUAAUGGCAUGGAUAUAUAGAAGUUGCUAUUGUAUAUUUGCAUGCAAAUUUGCCAUAUAUAUGUAUAGAAAUGCAUUGUUAUGUUCUUUACAAACUGACAUUUGAUAUCAUUGCAUGUAUACAUGUGGCAGAUGGAAUUGCAGAAUCAGCAGCAUGAACCCCUUACCCAAGGGAGGAAUGGUGGAUGGACGAUGGGCUACAAGUAGUCCGUGGUGGUCAGAGGAGGAGGAUUAUUCUACGCCUCACUGACGAACACCUGUACAUAAUGACUUGGAACCCUAACUUAAUUUAAUCUUCAGUCUCUGGCUUUAUCUCUGCCUCUCCCUCUCUUAUUGGUGUUGUAGCUUAAUUAGCUAUGAAUCAAACCCUAACAAUACUCACCCCAAACCAUGAAGAAACAACACACCCUGACCCUGUUAGGAUUAUGUAUUGUGUGGCUGAAUCUCAUCGUUUAUUGGUCUCGCUUAUGGCUCGAAAAAAAAAUGUAAAUGUAAUGUAUUUUUUUUGUUUAAUUAUAAUUUAAUAAUGAUGAUCCGC
rnacentral:lncRNA from 1 species